UGAUGGAUGUGGUCUCCGCGCCCGGAGGAGUGAUGCUUAUGCGCGCGUCCUCGACGAGGUUGCUGCCUGCAGUGAUGGCGAGAAAGACAUGAUACCUUCUUCUGUUUGUAUGAUUUGAUGAUUCUUCUUGAUUGAUUGAGGUUUUCUCUUCCUUGGUCAUGGAUUUCUUUCGGUUGAUGCUUCAACCAUCGGUUCAUCUCACCAUGUUCACAUAUUAUGUGUAGAAAAGCAGUUAAUCUCCAGAUCACGGGAAGAACAAAAAUUGAACGGAAUUAGUGUUUCGUGAUCGAUUUCCCGAUGCGCGUUCUAUCGCCGGAGUUGCUUCCUGUCGUUCGUCGUCGCUUGACGCCGACGGGUAGCGUGGGAGGGUGGCCUCACCGGGCGCAAAAUGGCGCCGUGGGCUGUCGGGCGCUUCGUUCUCAGGACUCCGUCCUCGUGCGAGCGUCUUCGCAUCCAGAUGCGGGGAGCCGCUGUUUUCCCUCUUUCCUCUCGCUUUCUUUUUGUUCUAGUGGCCAAAUCGCUCUUGGCAGAGCAAGUGCAUGAUAACGUGUAAAGAGUAAAAGAAGAGAAGGAGAAUGAUUGAAAUUAACAGUAUUUUCUUAUUAA